AUGCCUUUGAAUUUUGAAAAAAUGUUUAGAUUCUUCGUUGCUCGUGGUUCUUAUGUUUCCACGUUGCAUAUUAGACACACUCAAGCUCAUCAACUUUAGUGGCUCAUCUAAAAAAACUUCCAAUGGAUAGUCACUCACGUUCAUUGUGAGGAGGUCCCAUGUUCAAUCCCUGACACGUGCAUACUUUUCCGGGAAUAUGUCAUUCGUUUACUUGUUUGAGUAGUUGUAGUAGUUCUCAAGGGUAUGGAUGAAUUGUAC
rnacentral:lncRNA from 1 species